GCCGGGUGUGGUGGCGCGCACCUGUAAUUCCUGCUACUCAGGAGGCUGAGGCGGGAGAAUUGCUUGAACCUGGGAGACGGAGGUUGCAGUGAGCCGAGAUCAUGCCACUGCACUCCAGCCUGGGUGACAGAGCAAUACUCCGUCCCGA
ensembl:misc_RNA Metazoa_SRP Metazoan signal recognition particle RNA